rnacentral:rRNA from 1 species
GGACGAACGCUGGCGGCGUGCCUAACACAUGCAAGUCAACUUGACUGAAGGAGCAAUCUGACAGUAGAGUGGCGCAAGGGUGCGUAACGCGUAAGUAACUUGCCCAAGGUAAGGAAUAACGUCGAGAAAUCGGCGCUAAUACCUCAUAAUGCAGCGGAUCCGCAUGGAUAUGUUGUUAAAGGUUUACCGCCUUGGGAUAGGCUUGCGUCUGAUUAGCUAGUUGGUGUGGUAACGGCACACCAAGGCUACGAUCAGUAACUGGUCUGAGAGGAUGAUCAGUCACACUGGAACUGAGACACGGUCCAGACUCCUACGGGAGGCAGCAGUGAGGAAUAUUGGGCAAUGCUCGAAAGAGUGACCCAGCAACGCCGCGUGGAGGAUGAAGGUAUUCUAUAUCGUAAACUCCUGUGAGAGCAGACGAAAGACAGAUUAUUAAUCUGGAUGACUGUAUGCUCAGAGGAAGCCCCGGCUAACUGCGUG